GGAUGAACGCUAGCGGCAGGCUUAACACAUGCAAGUCGAGGGGUAACGACUCCGUCUUCGGAUGGAGGUCGACGACCGGCGCACGGGUGGGUAACGCGUAUGCAACCUACCUUUACAGGAGGAUAGCCCAGAGAAAUUUGGAUUAAUACUCCAUAGUACUAAUGAAUCACCUGGUUUAUUAGUUAAAACUCCGGUGGUAAAAGAUGGGCAUGCGUGUCAUUAGCUAGUUGGUAAGGUAACGGCUUACCAAGGCGAAGAUGACUAGGGGUUCUGAGAGGGAGAUCCCCCACACUGGUACUGAGACACGGACCAGACUCCUACGGAAGGCAGCAGUGAGGAAUAUUGGUCAAUGGGUGAGAGCCUGAACCAGCCAUGCCGCGUGAAGGAAGACUGCCCUAUGGGUUGUAAACUUCUUUUCUGCAGGAAGAAAUCACUCUACGUGUAGGGUGUUGCCGGUACUGCAGGAAUAAGCAUCGGCUAACUCCGUGCCAGCAGCCGCGGUAAUACGGAGGAUGCAAGCGUUAUCCGGAUUUAUUGGGUUUAAAGGGUGCGUAGGCGGGCUUGUAAGUCAGUGGUGAAAUGCUGUGGCUUAACCAUAGAAUUGCCAUUGAAACUGCAAGUCUUGAGUACAGUUGAGGUGGGCGGAAUGAGUAAUGUAGCGGUGAAAUGCAUAGAUAUUACUCAGAACUCCGAUUGCGUAGGCAGCUUGCUAAACUGUAACUGACGCUGAUGCACGAAAGCGUGGGGAGCGAACAGGAUUAGAUACCCUGGUAGUCCACGCUGUAAACGAUGAGCACUGGUUGUUGGCAAUACACCGUCAGCGACUGAGCGAAAGUAUUAAGUGCUCCACCUGGGGAGUACGUCGGCAACGAUGAAACUCAAAGGAAUUGACGGGGGCCCGCACAAGCGGAGGAACAUGUGGUUUAAUUCGAUGAUACGCGAGGAACCUUACCUGGGCUUAAAUGUAGAGUGCAUUGCUUGGAAACAGGCAUUUUCUUCGGAACUCUUUACAAGGUGCUGCAUGGUUGUCGUCAGCUCGUGCCGUGAGGUGUCGGGUUAAGUCCCAUAACGAGCGCAACCCCUAUUGUUAGUUACCAGCACGUAAUGGUGGGGACUCUAGCAAGACUGCCGGUGUAAACCAUGAGGAAGGUGGGGAUGACGUCAAAUCAGCACGGCCCUUAUGUCCAGGGCUACACACGUGUUACAAUGGCAAGUACAAAGAGCAGCCACCUGGCGACAGGGCGCUAAUCUCAAAAGCUUGCCUCAGUUCGGAUCGAAGUCUGCAACUCGACUUCGUGAAGGUGGAUUCGCUAGUAAUCGCGCAUCAGCCAUGGCGCGGUGAUACGUUCCCGGGCAUUGUACACACCGCCCGUCAAGCCAUGGAAGCCGGGGGUACAUGAAGUCCGUAACCGCAAGGAUCGGCACUAGGGUAAAACUG
rnacentral:rRNA from 1 species